GUUCCCCAAACUCCUCCUCCCUCCUCGUUGUUCUUACAACUGGCCAACUGGGAUUACACAACCCACACUAAUUUUAUUCCGCACGCGGCUGUUUCUCAUUAGAAGCCAGAAACUUAUUUGUUCCUGCCCCAUGCCAUCCCCUUUUGAUUCAGGCUUCUGAUACCAUGGCACUGCAGUUUGAAAUAUGACCUGCUCUUCUUGGGAAAAUGUCAUUUUAACUGAGUGGAGAGGAUGUGCCCCUUCUACCCACAUCCUAUUUCCUCUUUUGAAAACAAUGAGUUUGCCGGGCAUGGUGGCACACGCCUGUAAUCCCAGCACUCGGGAGGCUGAGGCAGGAGGAUCACCGCAAGUUCGAGGCCAGCCUGGGCUAUGAAGGGAGACCCUGCCUCAAAAAAACCAAAAAAUACAAAAUAAAAAAUAAAC
rnacentral:lncRNA from 1 species